rnacentral:rRNA from 1 species
GCUUAAAGGAGCCGUAGCUGGCUGUUCAAGUCCCCUGUUAAAUCCACCGAUUUAAUCGUUGGCUUGCGGGGGAUACUGUUCGGCUAGGGGUCGGGAGAGGCAGACGGUAUUUCCGGGGUAGGGGUGAAAUCCUAUAAUCCCGGGAAGACCACCAGUGGCGAAGGCUGUCUGCUAGAACGCGCCCGACGGUGAGGGAUGAAAGCUGGGGGAGCGAACCGGAUUAGAUACCCGGGUAGUCCCAGCUGUAAACUAUGCAGGCUAGGUGUUUGGGCGGCCACGUGCCGCUCUAGUGCCGCAGGGAAGCCGUUAAGCCUGCCGCCUGGGGAGUACGAUCGCAAGAUUGAAACUUAAAGGAAUUGGCGGGGGAGCACCACAAGGGGUGAAGCUUGCGGUUUAAUUGGAGUCAACGCCGGAAAUCUCACCGGGGGCGACAGCAGGGUGAAGGCCAGAUUGAAGGUCUUGCCAGACGAGCUGAGAGGAGGUGCAUGGCCGUCGCCAGUUCGUGCCGUGAGGUGUCCUGUUAAGUCAGGCAACGAUCGAGACCCGCGUCCUCUGUUGCUACUGGUUUUGCGCCAGGCACACUGAGGAGACCGCCGCUGAUAAAGCGGAGGAAGGAGCGGGCCACGGCAGGUCCGCAUGCCCCUAA